GACGAACGCUGGCGGCGUGCCUAAUACAUGCAAGUUGAGCGCUGAAGGUUGGUACUUGUACCGACUGGAUGGGCAGCGAACGGGUGAGUAACGCGUGGGGAAUCUGCCUUUGAGCGGGGGACAACAUUUGGAAACGAAUGCUAAUACCGCAUAAAAACUUUAAACACAAGUUUUAAGUUUGAAAGAUGCAAUUGCAUCACUCAAAGAUGAUCCCGCGUUGUAUUAGCUAGUUGGUGAGGUAAAGGCUCACCAAGGCGAUGAUACAUAGCCGACCUGAGAGGGUGAUCGGCCACAUUGGGACUGAGACACGGCCCAAACUCCUACGGGAGGCAGCAGUAGGGAAUCUUCGGCAAUGGACGAAAGUCUGACCGAGCAACGCCGCGUGAGUGAAGAAGGUUUUCGGAUCGUAAAACUCUGUUGGUAGAGAAGAACGUUGGUGAGAGUGGAAAGCUCAUCAAGUGACGGUAACUACCCAGAAAAGGACGGCUAACUACGU
rnacentral:rRNA from 1 species